rnacentral:rRNA from 1 species
UACGAAGGGGACUAGCGUUGUUCGGAUUUACUGGGCGUAAAGCGCACGUAGGCGGACUCUUAAGUCGGUGGUGAAAUCCUGGAGCUCAACUCCAGAACUGCCUUCGAUACUGAGAGUCUCGAGUCCGGGAGAGGUGAGUGGAACUGCGAGUGUAGAGGUGAAAUUCGUAGAUAUUCGCAAGAACACCAGUGGCGAAGGCGGCUCACUGGCCCGGUACUGACGCUGAGGUGCGAAAGCGUGGGGAGCAAACAGG